rnacentral:snoRNA from 1 species
GAUUUUAGUCCCGGUUGGUGUUACCAGCUGGGGCUAAAGAUCCACGAGAUCUUUAGUCCCGGUUGGUAUUACCAACCGAGACUAAAGUUACGAUCUUUAGUCCCGGUUGGUAUUACCAACCGGGACUAAAGAUCCCGGGGGGCCUGACAGGC